rnacentral:rRNA from 1 species
AUUGAACGCUGGCGGCAUGCCUUACACAUGCAAGUCGAGCGGAUGAGAAGAGCUUGCUCUUCGAGUUAGCGGCGGACGGGUGAGUAAUGCCUAGGAAUCUGCCUGGUAGUGGGGACAACGUUUCGAAAGGAACGCUAAUACCGCAUACGUCCUACGGGAAAAAGCCAGGGACCUUCCGGCCUUGCGCUAACCGAUGGACCUAGGGCGGAUUAGCUAGUUGGUGAGGGAAUGGCUCACCAAGGCGACGAUCCGUAACUGGUCUGAGAGGAUGAUCAGUCACACUGGAACUGAGACACGGUCCAGACUCCUACGGGAGGCAGCAGUGGGGAAUAUUGGACAAUGGGCGAAAGCCUGAUCCAGCCAUGCCGCGUGUGUGAAGAAGGUCUUCGGAUUGUAAAGCACUUUAAGUUGGGAGGAAGGGCAGUAAGCGAAUACCUUGCUGUUUUGACGUUACCAACAGAAUAAGCACCGGCUAACUCUGUGCCAGCCGCCGCGGUAAAAC